rnacentral:lncRNA from 1 species
AUGAGCGUAGAAGACUGUGGGAACGUGGAGCUCCCACCCUGGAGCUACUCCGUCCCCUCCCUAAACAGCGAGCAGGAGGAUCCCAGCGACCCAGCGUCCAAGAUCGCCUCGCUGCUCUUGGCAAAGCUGGCAGACUACGUGGUCCCAGGAUGUCAGACAGUCCUUUCUCCAACCGCUUCCGAACCUGACACCACGUUGACGAAAACCAGCCCCAAGAAUUCCUUAAAAGGCGAUAAAGAUCCCGGAGAAGAGAGUGAAGCAGUGGAUGGCAAGCUCUCUAUCUUCAUCCACAAGCGGGAAGACCAGUCAUCCCAUGAAGUUCUGCAGCCAUUACUAAGUAGCUCAGAAGGACGGCCCUUCCGACUUGGUACUGGUGCCAACAUGGAGAAAGUUGUGAAAAUGGACCGAGACAUGACGAAGGUAACCCCAACGUGGAGGAACCUGCUCCAACAAGAACCACAGUUGAGAACAUUUGCCAGGCUUCAGGUUUUCAGGAGAAAUUUUUUUUAAAACAUUCACGUUACCACAAAGAAGCAGGGUGAGAAAUUGAAGUCAUUGAGGCUAUUUUCAAGAAGAUUAGUCAAAAUCAAUUUAUCAUCUAACCAACAAGGACCUACAGUAUAGCACAUAGAACUCAACUCAAUGUUAUAUGACAGCCUGGAUGGGAGGGAAGUUGGGGGGGAAUGGAUACAUGUAUAUGUAUAGCUGAGUCCCCUGCACUGUUCACCUGAAACUAUCACAGUAUUGUGUUUUGUUUUAAUUGAAGGAUAAUUUGCUUUACCAUUUGUUUUGCAUUGGUUUCUACCAAACAUCAACAUGAAUCAGCCAUAGGUUUACCCAUAUUGAAACUAUCACAAUAUUGUUAAUACCCCAAUAGAAAAUAAAAAGUUUAAAUUUACAAAGAUCAAUUUAUCAUUAAUAUUAAAAUAUGGAAGAGAACUCUUGAUUUUGACCUAGAAAUUUUCUUAGCUCUGUUAAGAAAGUUCUACAGCAUAAAAAUAGUUUAAAAGUGAUCAUAGGGUGAAAGGUUAAAAGAGUAAUAAUAAUGGAUAAUAAGAAAUAAAGACAAAUAGCCCAUAAAAAAUAUGUCCAGUCUCACAAAUUACACAGUAAAUAAAUAAAGGGAAAGAAUAAAAAUAAUAGUACUGUGUCAUUUUUACCAUAUCACCCUGAUAAUGUUAAGAUUGAUGAUACCCUUUAUUGCCAAGGUGAGGGUAAAUAGGGCAUUUUCAAGUAUCCAGAG